rnacentral:rRNA from 1 species
GAUGAACGCCGGCGGCGUGCCUAAUACAUGCAAGUCGAGCGAACAGAUGAGGAGCUUGUUCCUCUGACGUUAGCGGCGGACGGGUGAGUAACACGUGGAUAACCUACCUAUAAGACUGGGAUAACUUCGGGAAACCGGAGCUAAUACCGGAUAAUAUAUUGAACCGCAUGGUUGAAUAGUGAAAGACGGUUUUGCUGUCACUUAUAGAUGGAUCCGCGCCGCAUUAGCUAGUUGGUAAGGUAACGGCUUACCAAGGCAACGAUGCGUAGCCGACCUGAGAGGGUGAUCGGCCACACUGGAACUGAGACACGGUCCAGACUCCUACGGGAGGCAGCAGUAGGGAAUCUUCCGCAAUGGGCGAAAGCCUGACGGAGCAACGCCGCGUGAGUGAUGAAGGUCUUCGGAUCGUAAAACUCUGUUAUUAGGGAAGAACAAAUGUGUAAGUAACUAUGCACGUCUUGACGGUACCUAAUCAGAAAGCCACGGCUAACUACGUG